rnacentral:rRNA from 1 species
GACGAACGCUGGCGGCGUGCUUAACACAUGCAAGUCGAACGGUGAAAGCGGAGCUUGCUCCGCUGGAUCAGUGGCGAACGGGUGAGUAACACGUGGGCAACCUGCCCCUCACUUCGGGAUAACUCCGGGAAACCGGGGCUGAUACCGGAUAUGACCUCCUUGGGCAUCCUUGGAGGUGGAAAGUUUUUCGGUGAGGGAUGGGCCCGCGGCCUAUCAGCUUGUUGGUGAGGUAGUGGCUCACCAAGGCGACGACGGGUAGCCGGCCUGAGAGGGCGACCGGCCACACGGGGACUGAGACACGGCCCAGACUCCUACGGGAGGCAGCAGUGGGGAAUAUUGCGCAAUGGGCGAAAGCCUGACGCAGCAACGCCGCGUGCGGGAUGACGGCCUUCGGGUUGUAAACCGCUUUCAGCAGGGAAGAAGCCGCAAGGUGACGGUACCUGCAGAAGAAGCACCGGCUAACUACGUGCCAGCCGCCGCAGUAA